GAUGAACGCUGGCGGCAGGCUUAACACAUGCAAGUCGAGCGGGGUGAUGGUGCUUGCACUAUCACUUAGCGGCGGACGGGUGAGUAAUGCUUAGGAAUCUGCCUAUUAGUGGGGGACAACAUCUCGAAAGGGAUGCUAAUACCGCAUACGUCCUACGGGAGAAAGCAGGGGAUCACUUGUGACCUUGCGCUAAUAGAUGAGCCUAAGUCGGAUUAGCUAGUUGGUGGGGUAAAGGCCUACCAAGGCGACGAUCUGUAGCGGGUCUGAGAGGAUGAUCCGCCACACUGGGACUGAGACACGGCCCAGACUCCUACGGGAGGCAGCAGUGGGGAAUAUUGGACAAUGGGGGGAACCCUGAUCCAGCCAUGCCGCGUGUGUGAAGAAGGCCUUAUGGUUGUAAAGCACUUUAACGAGGAGGAGGCUCUUUUGGUUAAUACCCAAGAUGAGUGGACGUUACUCGCAGAAUAAGCACCGGCUAACUCUGUGCCAGCAGCCGCGGUAA
rnacentral:rRNA from 1 species